GACGAACCGAGCGAACGUUAUUCGGAAUCAUUGGGCUUAAAGGGCGCGUAGGCGGGCGAUCAAGUCCGGGGUGAAAGCCCCCAGCUCAACUGGGGAAGUGCCUCGGAUACUGGUCAUCUCGAGGGAGAUAGGGGCGUGCGGAACUUCCGGUGGAGCGGUGAAAUGCGUAGAUAUCGGAAGGAACACCGGUGGCGAAAGCGGCGCGCUGGAUCUCUUCUGACGCCGAGGCGCGAAAGCCAGGGGAGCGAACGGG
rnacentral:rRNA from 1 species